rnacentral:piRNA from 1 species
UUCCAGCCGGAAGAUUGUCUUCAUGAAU